GUCGAAGACAAAGCAGAUGUUCUAAUAAAUUUAAUCGUUGUCUUGGCUAUGUUUGGAUGCUUUUAUACUGGUUUUUCGCGUCCUUAUUUACAUGUCGUCUUUGUGUGUAUUUUUGUCACUCUGAGUAAGUCCAUAUAAUAAACAGAACAUUAAACGGUUGCGAGAAGAUAUGGAUUUAUGUUCUCGUGUCAGAAACAAUAUCUCACUCGUUC